rnacentral:lncRNA from 1 species
AUCUCAUCUCAUCUCAUCUCAUCUCAUCUCAACUCAUCUCAUCUCAUCUCAUCUGUCGUUGUGUGUGUGUAUCGAUCGAUCAAUCAUUUGGUAUAUAUGCACAUGCAAACAGCUAGCAGUACUAUACAUUUUUUAUAUGAUGAAUUAUAAGCUUCACUGUUUAAAUUAACUCGGACCGGCCAGAGGAUAUAUAUGAUCGCGCAUGCAUCAACCAGUGCAAUUAAGCUGCGUGCACAGCUCUCUGAUCCACCCAACAUCAAAUUAAAUAAUAAUGCUGCCGACUAAGCU